rnacentral:rRNA from 1 species
ACGUAGGGGGCUAGCGUUGUUCGGAAUUACUGGGCGUAAAGCGCGUGUAGGCGGCUUGGCAAGUCGGAAGUGAAAGCCCCAGGCUCAACUUGGGAAUUGCUUUCGAAACUGCCUAGCUUGAGUGCGGGAGGGGAGAGCGGAAUUCCAGGUGUAGCGGUGAAAUGCGUAGAUAUCUGGAGGAACACCGGUGGCGAAGGCGGCUCUCUGGACCGUAACUGACGCUGAGACGCGAAAGCGUGGGUAGCAAACAGGAUUAGAUACCCUGGUAGUCCACGCCCUAAACGAUGGAUACUUGGCGUGGGAAGUUCAAAUCUUUCCGUGCCGGAGCUAACGCAUUAAGUAUCCCGCCUGGGGAGUACGGUCGCAAGGCUG